AGAGUUUGAUCCUGGCUCAGGAUGAACGCUGGCGGCGUGCUUAACACAUGCAAGUCGAGCGGGAAAUUUCUGACUGAUUCCUUCGGGAUGAAAUCGGAAAUGGAGAGCGGCGGAUGGGUGAGUAACGUGUGGGAAACCUGCCCUGUACAGGGGGAUAGCCUCGGGAAACCGGGAUUAAUACCCCAUAAUGUUUCUUUAUCGCAUGAUUUAGAAAUCAAAACUCCGGUGGUACAGGAUGGUCCCGCGUCCCAUUAGCUAGUUGGUGAGGUAACAGCUCACCAAGGCGACGAUGGGUAGCCGGCCUGAGAGGGUGAACGGCCACACUGGAACUGAGACACGGUCCAGACUCCUACGGGAGGCAGCAGUGGGGGAUAUUGCACAAUGGAGGAAACUCUGAUGCAGCGACGCCGCGUGAGCGAAGAAGGUCUUCGGAUCGUAAAGCUCUGUCCUAAGGAAAGAUAGUGACGGUACCUUAGGAGGAAGCCCCGGCUAACUACGUGCCAGCAGCCGCGGUAAUACGUAGGGGGCGAGCGUUAUCCGGAAUUAUUGGGCGUAAAGGGUUCGCAGGCGGCCUUGUAAGUCAGAUGUGAAAGACAGCGGCUUAACCGUUGUAAGCAUUUGAAACUGCAGGGCUUGAGUACAGGAGAGGAAAGCGGAAUUCCUAGUGUAGCGGUGAAAUGCGAAUCACUAGUGCGGCCGCCUGCAGGUCGACCAUAUGGGAGAGCUCCCAACGCGUG
rnacentral:rRNA from 1 species